rnacentral:lncRNA from 1 species
UCUUGCCUUCCUAAAGUUCUAGCGAAGAUGAUACAAUGAAAUAGAAUAAUCAAUGGACUGAAAGAGUGGGAGAAGCACCAAAGAAGUCGAGAUUUAGCGGGACUGGACAUAAUUGGUCCUCUUUUAAGGUCUUUGCUCCUUUCCCAUUACACGACAAUGAGCAAAGAGGGGCAGUUGUAGUGGCCCAAAUUCGAUCGGCCCAGAAAAAAUAAAAACCAAAAAAUAAUAUUAAUAUCAAAGUUCAUUUACAAAAAAAAAACAAAUUGGCCCAAAUUACAAGCCUAAACCUAAACUACCCUAACCCAAACCUGCUAAAC